ACGAACGCUGGCGGCGUGCUUAACCCAUGCAAGUCGAACGGUGAAGCUCCAGCUUGCUGGAGUGGAUCAGUGGCGAACGGGUGAGUAACACGUGAGCAACCUGCCCCAGACUCUGGAAUAAGCGCUGGAAACGGCGUCUAAUACUGGAUACGAGAUCAAGCCGCAUGGUUAUGGUCUGGAAAGUUUUUCGGUUUGGGAUGGGCUCGCGGCCUAUCAGCUUGUUGGUGAGGUAAUGGCUCACCAAGGCGACGACGGGUAGCCGGCCUGAGAGGGCGACCGGCCACACUGGGACUGAGACACGGCCCAGACUCCUACGGGAGGCAGCAGUGGGGAAUAUUGCACAAUGGGCGAAAGCCUGAUGCAGCGACGCCGCGUGAGGGAUGACGGCCUUCGGGUUGUAAACCUCUUUCAGCAGGGAAGAAGCGAAAGUGACGGUACCUGCAGAAGAAGCACCGGCUAACUACGUG
rnacentral:rRNA from 1 species